CGACCUGAGCUCAGGCAAGGCUACCCGCUGAACUUAAGCAUAUGA
rnacentral:rRNA from 1 species